AGCGAACGCUGGCGGCAGGCCUAACACAUGCAAGUCGACCGAACCUUUCGGGGUUAGUGGCGGUCGGGUGAGCAACUCGUGGGAACGUGCCUAUAGGUUCGGAAUAACUCAGGGACACUUGUGAUAAUACCGAUCGUGCCCCUCCGGCGAAAGAUUUUGCGCCGUUCGAGCGGCCCCCGUCUGAUUAGCCAGUUGGUUCAGGAGAUGGCUGGACAAGGCGACGAGCCGUAGCUGGUCCGAAAGGAUGACCAGACACAUUGGGCCUGAGACAUGGCCCACACUCCUACCGGAGGCAGAAAUGGAGAAUAUGGCACAAUGGGCGAAAGCGUCACCUAUGCAUGCGGCGUGAAUGAUGAAGUGCUUAGGAUUGCAAAAUUCUUUAUCAGGGGACAACAAUGACGGUACCCGGAGAAGAAGCCCCGGCUAGCUUCGUG
rnacentral:rRNA from 1 species